CAAUUUCCUGUUUGUGUUACCAGGUGUGUUUUGGGCCCAUGCGUUCUCCAAUGUUUGGCGACCAUGAGCCACACUAUUAGUGACGUUCCGGAUGGUAGCAUUGCCUGGUUGUGUAGCUGUUCGACGCUGCAGGUAGUGCUACACCAGAUCCUUUGGAUUUGAUUUUCAGUGUUGGCUUAAGAGACACAGAUCAGAGCCGACCUCCUCUAAAUUAAAGAGCAACGCGAAAGUGAAAAGAUGCUCCAGUUCAGGAAUACUGGAGCAGUGGUUACACUGCUGCACAUCCGUUUAUGUGCUUCAGAUGCUCUUCCCACAUUCGAGCUGGAAAUGAAAAUAUGUGGAUAAUUUAAGAUGAGCUUGUGAGAGCAUGCACAUAUGAGGAUAAUUACACAGAUAAAAUGGCAAGGAAAUUAUUUGAAACCAUGGCACAACUGAGGACACGAAUGUUCAGAUGAAAACGAGGAUCUCAAAGUAAAGAUGUCUCUCCAUGUGGCUUCUUGGGGGUGAUUCCAUGAGAUGGGUUAUAAGAUAAACAAUGAACACAUUCUAAAUCUAUCACUGAAUGGACAGAGACUUGGUAUCUGGUGGGAGAUCAAAUGAGAAAUGGCAGUCGUGCUUUAAUUGGGUGGGUCAAACUGAAGUAGUGGUGUUAUUUCAACCUCAGUGACCCCAGCCGAUGGCCCUGGACUUCCACAGUGGAGGGACCACGGGUAACCCAGGCGAGCUGAGCUAAAGGUGUUUGGAGUGGGUGUCUUUGUUUGCCUUCACAGGACGAGCGCUCCUUUCUUGAUGGUGACUGAUGACCAGAGACCUGGUGGUUGCUGAAGUAUGGUGCAAGGAAAGCUAGAAUUACACCUUUAGCAAACACUCCAUAGCUCAAAGUUCACAAAAAAGGUGGAUGGAUCGAGGUCUACCUCAGCAACAAGCUUUUCAAACUGAUGCUGACGCAGAUAAAAUCUAUGCUAGAGAGCAUUUCUCAUUUCCCCAAGCUUGUGACUGCAUUUCCAGGCCUUGGUCUUAGGAGUAAAAUCCUGCCUGUGACCCCUUGUCUCAGCUUAGACGCAGCAAUCUGUUUCAAUAUAUUCCUUAGUAUGUCAAUCAGCCACAAUGGGCAUGAAUCAGAUAUUGUUUUUAUAUGUGAACUAUUUUUUUCUUAUUAAAAAACAAGCCUAGCUAUAUCAACAAUGGGCUUGUCCACUACUGUCAGGGAAGACUGUCUUUUGAGCAAAGGGAUUUAUAGUGUACUUCAGUCAGCUUUGUUAAAUUUAGAUUUUUGUCAAUUAUGUUACAACUGGUUUCUAUUUUCUAAAAGAGUGCUAAAUAAAUAAUAGUUAAAAAAAAAAUCAAAUAUCCCAAUGUACAUGAGCAAAAACAAAAAAAGCACAUUAAGAGGAGUAAAGAGUGUUGAUGUUACAGAGAAUGGACAAUGUAAGCAACAUGAAAUCCAGGAAAUCCUUUUAAAACUGCUGGCAAACUUUGUAAACACUCAGCAGUCCUGGUCAUAAGGAGUCAGUCUAAAUAUUGUUGUUCUGUAGUUAACCCUGUCAGCAAAGAUGUUUCGAUACCAACACAGAGAGACGGAAAGAAAUGGCUCAACAAGUGCGGACACCCCCGGUUCACAUUUAGCGGAUUAAUAGGGUCCCCAUCAUGUCUGCGUAGUGCAAAUGUUGACAGUGACUCCAUCCUCUCGUCUAAUGACCUGGUGCAUGUCGUGUCUCUCCUCUGUCAUUUUGCUUGCAGUCUAAAGAGUUCAAACAGCUGCUCCAUGUUAGCUUAGUCGGAGAGUGAGGAAAUCCAGACAUGAAUCUAUUGAGGCCAUGUUGUAGGCAAAGCUUUUGAAACUUGUUUUCCAGAAUCCUGUCUGCCUUGAAGUGUAUGUGGACACUUCUUGGUGGGUUAAAAUAUCAUUAAUAUUUCAGAAAUUCAAAAAAGGAAACUCGUAUAUUACAUAAAUCCAUUAAACACAGAACUAUUGCAUAUCUGGUGUGUUUGCUGAUUAUAGCUUGAAGUCGUAGUCAUAAUAAUUUAUCUGAAAAUUAGAUUUUUGCAGACUGCUUAAGCAUGAAUGUGCAUAAAACACGUUGGACCAACACCAGCAUAAGACAUGGCUCACAUUUAGCGGAUUAAUAAGAUGAAAUACAAAAUGUACUGGAAAACCUCGGACCACUGGUCAACAGUUACAUAUUUUUUUCUUUUUAGCUUACAGAAGAUGAUCCUGACAUUGUCCCUGAAAUGGCCUAACACAAGCAAUGUGUAAGUUGUAACCUAUAUCCUAGAUAACUCUGUGUGCCUCUUGAAGCACAGACACUGUAGUCCUAA